AUGGACCCCAACCUCUCCGCGCCACCCCCGCCGCCGACCGAUGAGGGCCACGACGACCGGGUGGUGCAGCUGCCUGGUGGCCUUACCAUGAUGGCAAACCACAAGCCACUCGUCUGCGCGGCUCCUCUCACGGCCCGGCCGAAAUCCGUGCAAGUUAAGCUCUUCAAGGGCUUCUACGACGUGCGCGUCCAAGGCGUCGGCGGCGAGCGCGGGUUCUACCGCAUCCCCAUGAGCCCGGCGGGCUCGCCCAAGCUGCUCGUCGCCAACCUCGCGGCCUGCUCCAUCGGCUACCUCGACCGGGUGGCUACGGUCGGCCCCUCCCACGCUCCAUUCACGGACGCCGAGGUGAUCUGCAAUGACUUCCGCGGCCGCUCCUUCACCAACGGCUGCGACGGCGAGGAGCAGGUCCUGCAGGCCAUCGAGCGCUUCGACAACGGUCUGCCGCCGUUCCCUGCUCCCCAGCCCAUGCAGCUUGACGAGGCCGCUCCGGAGGACAUGCCGCUGCCCCCGCGGUCGCCUCCUUCUCCGUCUCCAACCCAGCCCAUGCAGAUCGAGGACGGCGCUUCCGCGGGCACGACACUGCUGCCGCUGUCUCCGUCUACUCCGGCGGCAACCCUCGCCCCACACGCUGAUCUUCCUCCCAGGGCAACCUCGCCCAAGAUCUUCUACACGCGUCGCAGUGCACGCCUCCGGGAGGGGGAGAACCCCAACCGCUUGAUGAUGCUUGAGAAGGCUACGCUCCGGAAGGAGCAGAAGCUGGAAGGCAGGAAGCGUGCGGCCCCGUCUCGCGAGCUUCUCCUGUCGGCCGCGGAGCUCCUGGAGCUUGCCGCGGAGGGUGUGCCGCCCCUUCCCCGCAUGGAUGCGCUUCAGCUGGCGGAGGCCUGUGGCGUCCCCGGUUUCGACCUCAACCUGGUGCCAUCCGCCGACAAUGUGUGA
rnacentral:rRNA from 1 species